UACGUAGGGUGCGAGCGUUAAUCGGAAUUACUGGGCGUAAAGCGUGCGCAGGCGGUUUUGUAAGCCAGAUGUGAAAGCCCCGGGCUUAACCUGGGAAUGGCAUUUGGGACUGCAAGGCUUGAGUGCGGCAGAGGAGACUGGAAUUCCUGGUGUAGCAGUGAAAUGCGUAGAGAUCGGGAGGAACAUCAGUUGCGAAGGCGGCUCUCUGGACCAGCACUGACACUGAGGCACGAAAGCGUGGGGAGCAAACAGG
rnacentral:rRNA from 1 species